AAGUACAAGGCUUAAAGUUAAAAGAGAAACCCAAUCUCAAUAAGGAAAAAACUGAAAGUAAACAACAUCGAACCUCGGGUGCUUAGAGAGUAUUAUAAAAAAGUAAUGUAUUUCCUCCAUGUAGCUUGAGCUGGUAUGUUUUGAUUCCGAGGAUAUCCUCUUCGCUGUCGUUGCCCAAUACAAAAAUUUGCGAACCCACUAGGACACGAUGGUAGUCCAUGAAUCCAAC
rnacentral:lncRNA from 1 species